CUCCAGAUGUUGCUGAACUACAACUCCCCUGAUUCUAUGAACUAGAUAGGCUGAGAAUCAUGGGAGUUGUAGUUCAGCAACAUCUGGAG